UACGUAGGGUGCAAGCGUUAAUCGGAAUUACUGGGCGUAAAGCGUGCGUAGACGGUUAUGUAAGUUAGGUGUGAAAGCCCCGGGCUCAACCUGGGAAUUGCAUUUAAGACUGCAUAGCUAGGGUGCGGAAGAGGGAAGCGGAAUUUCCGGUGUAGCGGUGAAAUGCGUAGAUAUCGGAAGGAACAUCAGUGGCGAAAGCGGCUUCCUGGUCCAGCACCGACGUUCAGGCACGAAAGCGUGGGGAGCAAACAGG
rnacentral:rRNA from 1 species